CUAAAAUAUGAAAAUAACCAUAUAAUUUCUAAAAUUUUAGGUAAACAUGCAAAUUUACAAUACUACUAGAUUAAAACUAUCAAACUACAGUGCGCAAUCAACUACUAAACAACGUUGCUAUUUUUAUACGGCCGUAUUUACAAAUAUAAUAUGGAUGCAACUGAAUAUUCAUGCUACUCACGCAUUGGUUUGCGUUCUUCUACCCCGGGGUUUUCCUGUUAUUUUUGGAAGCUGAUUUUCUAAACCAUGGAAGGACAGGGAACUAUGCUUUUAAAUCCGCAGCUGAGAAUACACCCAACGAUUUUCCGUUUAAGUCCGACACCUCGUACGAACUGGUACCGACUUUCCGGAGGAUGACGCAUGGUGUGUAUUGAGGUCCCAGCUUCGCGUUGAAUUGGAUUCCAGCAGACGACUGACGAAAACUCCGUUUAUACACACGCUGACCCACAUCAAACGUUGGAAUGGAGGUCACGUUCGCAGCCAACAUCGCCGUUCUGCAAUCUGCUCUGGUGUUCCGGAAAAGCACAUCGAACUUUCUGGCAUCAUCCCAUUGUCUCGACAUACUCCGGAAAAUUCGUACCAUAUCCAGAUAAUAGUCCUGGAAUUUCUCCCUAGGACCUUGCUUUCGCGCAUUCGCCAGACGUUCAUACUGGUAAUCAAUGUCUACAGCUUUCAACAAAUUCCGCAAGGCUCUCUCCUGUUUACUACGCGAUUCAUCAUCCAUGUUCACACCACGAAUCCGCAAUUCAUGAUGGAGUUCGUCAUCAGCCAGAUGAGCAGUAUUGAGCGCGUGGUACUGCGUCUCAAAGUGAAUUAAUUCCAUUAUGCAAUGUUUGCGUGAAAUUUAAGCAAAAUUAUAAAAAGAAAAAUUAAAAAGAACUACCUAUAUUACGCUUAGCGGUCUUUCACGCUGAAAAUUAAUUUGAAAAUCCUAAUAAUUGUAAAAUCCUAGUUUCAAAUUCAGAAAUAAAUCACUUUUCCUUUCUGGUGUUUUAAUAACUCCUUCCGAAAACACACCACGCACACGGAUAAACAGUUCGCUCCUUUGAAUUCAAUCUACUUGUUACUCACUUUUUGAACAAUCGUUCUUUGUUACUUUUUUACGGACAAUCAGAACCCCUCCAUUGCAAAUAAAAUAUUUGUUAAACUGUGUCAGGUAAAGUAAUAAUGUCAAAUGUGCUAAGAGACUUGUGAAGGCCUGGAUGUUUUCUCAGAGACCUCUGUAGAAACCAGCUCUAUCAAGUGCGAUCUUCCGAGCUGUAUUCUUAAAACAACUGCCGAUAAGACAAUUUUAAGUUGGGCGCCAAAGUGUAAGUGUCAGCCACCUCAGUCAGGAGCACUUUCGAGACUCCCUGACUCCAAUGGCCUCAGGGUCGGCACGCUUACCGAUUGCAAUUACGCGGGCAGGGAAUGAUCGCACGUGACACACAGAAAAAACUCCACAAGCACUUCACUACUCAAGAAUAGACAUUUAUUGCACUUUCCUGAACUUUUAUUCUCCCUCUUUACUACCUUAUUCUCCCACUUUCUUACAAUCUAUCUGACCUGGUUUCUUCGUCGGGGCCCCUCGCAACACCUCCACUAUGUGUCUUCGAUUGUCGACCGCUUGUUCUCGGUCGACGUCCGCUUCCUCUCCACUUUCUCGUCGUGUAUCUCGUUCGCGCGCUUGAUGUACGGGGUGGCGAUGACGAGCACCAGGUUACUCUUCCUGGGCCUGUGAGUUGGUGACGAACUCGGCCGGCAGGCAAUGACGGUGUAACCUUCCGGUACGUCUACCGGAACUUCACUGCGUACAGGUGAUUUGUAUUAAAUACAGCGGGGUCCUGCUGUCCUUGACUCUCUCCUCACACUUUUUCACUGUUUCCACUCUUACUUGCGUCAAUUUAGCUGGCUUGCUUUCUUGAUAAA